GUAGGUGGCAAGCGUUGUCCGGAAUUAUUGGGCGUAAAGCGCGCGCAGGCGGUCCUUUAAGUCUGAUGUGAAAGCCCACGGCUCAACCGUGGAGGGUCAUUGGAAACUGGGGGACUUGAGUACAGAAGAGGAAAGCGGAAUUCCAAGUGUAGCGGUGAAAUGCGUAGAGAUUUGGAGGAACACCAGUGGCGAAGGCGGCUUUCUGGUCUGUAACUGACGCUGAGGCGCGAAAGCGAGGGGAGCAAACAGGAUUAGAUACCCUGGUAGUCCACGCCGUAAACGAUGAGUGCUAAGUGUUAGGGGUUUCCCGCCCCCUUAGUGCUGCAGCUAACGCAUUAAGCACUCCGCCUGGGGAGUACGGCCGCAAGGCUG
rnacentral:rRNA from 1 species